UAGGGAAUCUUCGGCAAUGGGGGCAACCCUGACCGAGCAACGCCGCGUGAGUGAAGAAGGUUUUCGGAUCGUAAAGCUCUGUUGUAAGAGAAGAACGUGUGUGAGAGUGGAAAGUUCACACAGUGACGGUAACUUACCAGAAAGGGACGGCUAACUACGUGCCAGCAGCCGCGGUAAUACGUAGGUCCCGAGCGUUGUCCGGAUUUAUUGGGCGUAAAGCGAGCGCAGGCGGUUUAAUAAGUCUGAAGUUAAAGGCAGUGGCUUAACCAUUGUUCGCUUUGGAAACUGUUAAACUUGAGUGCAGAAGGGGAGAGUGGAAUUCCAUGUGUAGCGGUGAAAUACGUAGAUAUAUGGAGAAACACCGGUGGCGAAAGCGGCUCUCUGGUCUGUAACUGACGCUGAGGCUCGAAAGCGUGGGGAGCAAACAGG
rnacentral:rRNA from 1 species